UGGGGAAUAUUGGGCAAUGGGCGAAAGCCUUACCCAGCAACGCCGCGUGAGGGAAGAAGGUUUUCGGAUUGUAAACCUCUGUCCUGGGGGACGAAGGGAGUGACGGUACCCCGGGAGGAAGCCCCGGCUAACUACGUGCCAGCAGCCGCGGUAAUACGUAGGGGGCGAGCGGUUGUCCGGAAUUAUUGGGCGUAAAGGGCGCGUAGACGGCCGAGUAAGUUAUAGGUGAAAGCCCGUCUUUCAAGGAUGGAAUUGCCUGUAAUACUGCUUGGCUUGAGUGCAGGAGAGGGAAGCGGAAUUCCUAGUGUAGCGGUGAAAUGCGUAGAUAUUAGGAGGAACACCAGUGGCGAAGGCGGCUUUCUGGACUGUAACUGACGUUGAGGCGCGAAAGCGUGGGGAGCAAACAGGAUUAGAUACC
rnacentral:rRNA from 1 species